AAUUGUGAACUCUGGUCAACUUUUCUCAAGAAGCUUCCACGACAUUAGGCAGAAAUGCCAAUCAUUUUGCAGAGUAAUGUUUUUACCUGGUCAUAUAAUAGAUUAUUAUUAUUUUGAGUACGCCGAAUCUAAUCAAGAAAUCUCUUCGUACAUGACUAAGUCAUGAAAUUGCAAAGGGUCCAAUACAGUUUGCUGAUUCAAGCAAUACCUCUUAAAAAGAACCACCACUAGAGCAGUAGCUUCCAGAUUGGUUCUGUUAUGCUUUGACCUAAAAAAUGUCAUAAAGUAAUCUUAUUUGUCAAGUUUCCUGAGCUAUGUGCCGGCUGCACCAAUUACUAUUAAGACUCAUCUUUUAUUGUCUUCCAAGAGAAGCUGACAAAAAGUUAUCAGAAUUUCAAGUUUGAUGAGCCAAGAUAUCAUGCCUCAUAUUAUCUCUCUUUAAUAUUAAAUGACCAUUCAUGGCCUUGGGAGGAAGAUCUAGAAAUACUUGAGACCCUUCAGCCUGAAGACCUUUCUCGGUUUGCACCUACAAUGCUCUCAAGAGCAUUCUUAGAGUGUUACAUAGCAGGGAAUAUAGAGCAUGAUGAAGCAGAGUCAAUUGUUCAUCAUGUUGAAGAUGUUUGAAUGUUUCUCAUCCUAUAUGCAAGCCUGUGCUCCAAUCCAGCUCAUGACAAGCGGACUCGUCACACUCGACGAGGGUGUAAGUUACGUCUACUCAACUGAAGGCCUAAACUCAAAUGAUGAGAAUUCUGCAUUGCUUCACAUUAUUCAGAUCCAUCAAGAUGACAUUACUUUGAAUGUACAACUUCAGCUUUUGGCUUUUAUUGCAUGGCAUGAAGCCUUCCACCAGCUCAGAACAGUUGAGCAACUUGGUUAUGUCUGUUUGGUCACACAUCGAUAUGACCUCGGUGUGCAUGGCCUGCAGUUCAUUGUUCUGUCUGCUGUGAAGGUACAUCGACACACGGGUCCAGAGCUUUCUUGAGUCUUUCGAAAGUAAACUCCUUAAGAUGAGUGAGGUUGAUUUCAAGAGCCAUUUAAACACACUAAUUGAAUCAAAGAUGGAGAAGGACAAGAAUUUGUGGGAAGAAUCUCAGCGUCACUGGGAAGAGAUAACUAAUAGAACUUUCCUAUUUGAUUGAAUAGAAACUGAGGUCGCAACAUUAAGGAAGCUGGCAAAACAAGAAUUGAUAGCUUUCUUCAACGAGCACAUACGAAUUGGAGCGCAGGAAGGUGCUUAGUGUAUGAGUUUAUGGGAGCAAGCAUACAUCAAAUUUUGAAGUGGAUAACAAUGAAGCAAUUGGACCAAACACAAUACGAAUAGAUAACAUUUUCAGCUUUAGGGCAUCGCAACCUCUUUACGGUUCACACAGAAGAGGGUAUGAACAUAUGGAAGUUCCCAGCAGUUCUAAACAAGCUAGAAAUGAGGAUCUUGGAUAAUGUACUCCUGAAACAUUUCUCCAAAAUCUAUACUACGACGCCACACUUGCCCUAUGGCAUUUGUACCUUA